rnacentral:rRNA from 1 species
GUGACGGUACCUACAAAAGAAGCACCGGCUAACUAUGUGCCAGCAGCCGCGGUAAUACAUAGGGUGCAAGCGUUGUCCGGAAUUAUUGGGCGUAAAGAGCUCGUAGGUCGUUUGUUACGUCGGAUGUGAAAACCUGAGGCUCAACCUCAGGCCUGCAUUCGAUACGGGCAAACUAGAGUUUGGUAGGGGAGACUGGAAUUCCUGGUGUAGCGGUGGAAUGCGCAGAUAUCAGGAGGAACACCAAUGGCGAAGGCAGGUCUCUGGGCCAAUACUGACACUGAGGAGCGAAAGUCUGGGGAGCGAACAGGAUUAGAUACCCUGGUAGUCCAGACCGUAAACGGUGGGCACUAGUUGUGGGAACCUUCCACGGUUUCUGCGACGCAGCUAACGCAUUAAGUGCCCCGCCUGGGGAGUACGAUCGCAAGAUUAAAACUCAAANGAAUUGACG